UCUGGGUGCAGAUGAGUCUAGAUUCUGAGGGGCCUGGAGCUUACACUGUUGGGUUGGCCGAGAAGGGGAUCCUUUUUGAGAAAAUAAUACAAAAUUAGGGAGACCCUUUAAAGGAGCCUAUUGAAUGAGGGAUCCUGAAGUGUAAGCUUCAGAGAGGGUUAUGUGUGGAGACGAAAGUGAAAUAGGAUGAGGAGAUAGAGCUUACGGAAGGGGAGGCUACUCUAGACUGGAGUAGUCUGGGGAGGCUGACGUCUGAGCUACAAACCAAACAACCAGGAGCCGGCCAUGAGGCCACCGGUGUGAAGAACAUUCUGAGCAGAAGGAACAGUGCCAAGUCCCUGGGGCCGGAUCAGGCUUGGAAUGGCAGGACCGCGAGAAGGUCGGGAAACUGCUGCUGCCCUCUCAGUUCCAACCUGAGCAGGAAGCAAGCACUGAAAAAGCCAGAGCAGAGAGAUGGAAAAAAACCUGCAUCCAAGGUCAACAACCUGAAUGGCAAAUGAGCAAGGCUUUCUCCACCCAGAAGAUGGCUGUCAGUGGUCCGGACUUACAUCCUUCAAGCUCACCAAAUCCAAGAAGAAUAGGAUUUUCCUCUCCAGCUCCAAUUUUGAAAUUCUGGAAAAGGAGUUUAGUGUCUUGUUUUGUUUUGGGCUGAAAUCCCCAGUGGAUCUUCCCUGCACUUUGCAUGAGCUGUCUGUCCUGUCACAGCUGCUAUGGGUGGGUCGUCGGUCUCAGAGUGUGAAACUGGAGACAAUCCUGGAACCUGUGACUUCUGGUUUUCCUUCUGAGAAAAUCUUCCAAGCCAAGCAGUCUCUCAUCUUUCUCAAGCUCCUAUGGAUGUAUGUCACAGCCCUUCCCCAAAGAUCGUGUGGUGGCACUGGGAAGAAAACUGAAAGGUGAGAUGACUUGCUUAUGGAGAAUUGUCAGUGAGUCAGAGCUCACACAGAGCUCUGGAGUUUCCAGGCCGUUAACUUAUCUUCCUGAACAUAUGAGUCAGGGUCAGUCCAGCCCAGGUAGUACCGGUACGUGCUUCGCCUGCCCUGCUCUUCCGGGCCAGCACCCAGCCUUCACGCAUGCACACGCACAGGUGCCCUUCAGCCUCCUUCUCCAUACAUCCUGGGAGGGGUGCGGGCAGACUUGGCUUAUUCAUCUCUCUUAAGAGGGCUGAGCUCAGGCUAGAAACUAACCGCAAGAUCUGAACCAAAAAAAGAGAAAGUAAAUAGUAAUCCUUCCUUUUCAUAAAUGUUGCAACAGCCUAGCUGUAGCUUGGAGCAUGUAUUUCGAGAAUAACCAGAAACAACCAAUGUAUUUGUCAAUAGUAAUCAGUUGUAAAACAUUAUGGUAUAUUCAGAGAAUAGAAUACUAUAAAGCCAUUAAAAUUAAUGAAAUAGGGACUUCCCUAGUGACACAGUGGAUAAGACUCCAUCCACCAGUGCCGGGGACACGGGUUUGAUCCCUGGUCCAGGAGGAUCCCA